CAACAGUUGCACAUUGCCUGGUUGACGAACUAGAAGCCAAGCGCCACUAUCGGGCGUUUUCGUGAGACCUGUCGACAGUUACCGUUUCGUCAAAUAUGUGAACAGAGGCAGAAAUGAGCUACAAGAAUGGCUGGAGACAGCAUAAUAAUCCUGAUAUCAGGUCUUGCUGUUGUCACAUUACUCGUUGUGGGUUUAAUGCUUGGCUACAUAUGCAUCUUCAGACAAAUGUGUUGCCCUACUGAUGAUAAAAGUACAAAGAGGUGGGGACCUUUCCGCGACAAAACUCGAGAAGCGAUGCAAAUGGCCGACAUCAGCAAUACGACGCACAUUGAAAGUCUCACGAUCGAGAUAGAUCGAGCAUCCAGCGCGUCUUAUCAUAAGAAAUUAUCUACGUAGUGUUCGAAAAUGACAAAGAGUGGUGACCGCAGAAGAUGCUGUAAGAACCUGCUAAGUAUUUUAAGUUUUGUGGUUUACAACAUUGUCUAAAUUAUGUACUUAUAAAAGUCACUGGCAGGUAAAACUAUAAAAAUAUACCUUAUAACUUAUAUUAUAAGCUAAAUUUCCUGAAUUUUUGACAGACCUGUGUAUAGAAAAUAAAUGAAAAAUAAAAUCAUAAUUUGUACAUA